UGGAAACGACUGCUAAUACCGCAUAAGCCCACGGGUCGGCAUCGACCAGAGGGAAAAGGAGCAAUCCGCUUUGAGAUGGCCUCGCGUCCGAUUAGCUAGUUGGUGAGGUAAUGGCCCACCAAGGCGACGAUCGGUAGCCGGACUGAGAGGUUGAACGGCCACAUUGGGACUGAGACACGGCCCAGACUCCUACGGGAGGCAGCAGUGGGGAAUAUUGCACAAUGGGGGAAACCCUGAUGCAGCGACGCCGCGUGGAGGAAGAAGGUCUUCGGAUUGUAAACUCCUGUUGUUGAGGAAGAUAAUGACGGUACUCAACAAGGAAGUGACGGCUAACUACGUGCCAGCAGCCGCGGUAAAACGUAGGUCACAAGCGUUGUCCGGAAUUACUGGGUGUAAAGGGAGCGCAGGCGGGAAGACAAGUUGGAAGUGAAAUCCAUGGGCUCAACCCAUGAACUGCUUUCAAAACUGUUUUUCUUGAGUAGUGCAGAGGUAGGCGGAAUUCCC
rnacentral:rRNA from 1 species